rnacentral:rRNA from 1 species
GACGAACGCUGGCGGCGUGCCUAAUACAUGCAAGUUGAGCGCUGAAGGUUGGUACUUGUACCAACUGGAUGAGCAGCGAACGGGUGAGUAACGCGUGGGGAAUCUGCCUUUGAGCGGGGGACAACAUUUGGAAACGAAUGCUAAUACCGCAUAAAAACUUUAAACACAAGUUUUAAGUUUGAAAGAUGCAAUUGCAUCACUCAAAGAUGAUCCCGCGUUGUAUUAGCUAGUUGGUGAGGUAAAGGCUCACCAAGGCGAUGAUACAUAGCCGACCUGAGAGGGUGAUCGGCCACAUUGGGACUGAGACACGGCCCAAACUCCUACGGGAGGCAGCAGUAGGGAAUCUUCGGCAAUGGACGAAAGUCUGACCGAGCAACGCCGCGUGAGUGAAGAAGGUUUUCGGAUCGUAAAACUCUGUUGGUAGAGAGGAACGUUGGUGAGAGUGGAAAGCUCAUCAAGUGACGGUAACUACCCAGAAAGGGACGGCUAACUACGUG